GAAAUUUUGCAGAGACCUACUACUCAUGAUGAAGUUAUUACUGUAAAAAUUUCAAGUCAUUUGGACUAUGGAAACAUCAUCAAAAUCCUCCCGCAAGAUACUGUCCUGUCAAGCCAAAAACUGACAGCAAUGUCCCCUUGCUUCAACUUAACAUAUAACUCAUAUCUCUGCCAAAUACAUCAUCUUAAUACAUACUAGAAUGGUUUAACAUAAAACUUAA
rnacentral:lncRNA from 1 species